rnacentral:rRNA from 1 species
UUUAUGGAGAGUUUGAUCCUGGCUCAGAGUGAACGCUGGCGGCGUGCCUAAUACAUGCAAGUCGAACGAUGAAGCUUCUAGCUUGCUAGAAUGCUGAUUAGUGGCGCACGGGUGAGUAACGCAUAGGUCAUGUGCCUCUUAGUUUGGGAUAGCCAUUGGAAACGAUGAUUAAUACCAGAUACUCCCUACGGGGGAAAGAUUUAUCGCUAAGAGAUCAGCCUAUGUCCUAUCAGCUUGUUGGUAAGGUAAUGGCUUACCAAGGCUAUGACGGGUAUCCGGCCUGAGAGGGUGAACGGACACACUGGAACUGAGACACGGUCCAGACUCCUACGGGAGGCAGCAGUAGGGAAUAUUGCUCAAUGGGGGAAACCCUGAAGCAGCAACGCCGCGUGGAGGAUGAAGGUUUUAGGAUUGUAAACUCCUUUUGUUAGAGAAGAUAAUGACGGUAUCUAACGAAUAAGCACCGGCUAACUCCGUGCCAGCAGCCGCGGUAAUACGGAGGGUGCAAGCGUUACUCGGAAUCACUGGGCGUAAAGAGCGCGUAGGCGGGAUAGUCAGUCAGGUGUGAAAUCCUAUGGCUUAACCAUAGAACUGCAUUUGAAACUACUAUUCUAGAGUGUGGGAGAGGUAGGUGGAAUUCUUGGUGUAGGGGUAAAAUCCGUAGAGAUCAAGAGGAAUACUCAUUGCGAAGGCGACCUGCUGGAACAUUACUGACGCUGAUUGCGCGAAAGCGUGGGGAGCAAACAGGAUUAGAUACCCUGGUAGUCCACGCCCUAAACGAUGGAUGCUAGUUGUUGGAGGGCUUAGUCUCUCCAGUAAUGCAGCUAACGCAUUAAGCAUCCCGCCUGGGGAGUACGGUCGCAAGAUUAAAACUCAAAGGAAUAGACGGGGACCCGCACAAGCGGUGGAGCAUGUGGUUUAAUUCGAAGAUACACGAAGAACCUUACCUAGGCUUGACAUUGAGAGAAUCCGCUAGAAAUAGUGGAGUGUCUGGCUUGCCAGACCUUGAAAACAGGUGCUGCACGGCUGUCGUCAGCUCGUGUCGUGAGAUGUUGGGUUAAGUCCCGCAACGAGCGCAACCCCCUUUCUUAGUUGCUAACAGGUCAUGCUGAGAACUCUAAGGAUACUGCCUCCGUAAGGAGGAGGAAGGUGGGGACGACGUCAAGUCAUCAUGGCCCUUACGCCUAGGGCUACACACGUGCUACAAUGGGGUGCACAAAGAGAAGCAAUACUGCGAAGUGGAGCCAAUCUUCAAAACACCUCUCAGUUCGGAUUGUAGGCUGCAACUCGCCUGCAUGAAGCUGGAAUCGCUAGUAAUCGCAAAUCAGCCAUGUUGCGGUGAAUACGUUCCCGGGUCUUGUACUCACCGCCCGUCACACCAUGGGAGUUGUGUUUGCCUUAAGUCAGGAUGCUAAAUUGGCUACUGCCCACGGCACACACAGCGACUGGGGUGAAGUCGUAACAAGGUAACCGUAGGUGAACCUGCGGUUGGAUCACCUCCUUUCUAGA